rnacentral:rRNA from 1 species
UACGGAGGAUGCGAGCGUUAUCCGGAUUUAUUGGGUUUAAAGGGUGCGCAGGCGGUCUGUUAAGUCAGCGGUCAAAGCCCGGGGCUCAACCCCGGCGAGCCGUUGAAACUGGCUGUCUUGAGAUGUCGAGAGGUAUGCGGAAUGCGCAGUGUAGCGGUGAAAUGCAUAGAUAUCGCGCAGAACCCCGAUUGCGAAGGCAGCGUGCCGUGCCGCCACUGACGCUGAGGCACGAAAGCGCGGGGAUCGAACAGG